AGAGUUUGAUCCUGGCUCAGAUUGAACGCUGGCGGCAUGCCUUACACAUGCAAGUCGAACGGUAACAGGUCUUCGGAUGCUGACGAGUGGCGAACGGGUGAGUAAUACAUCGGAACGUGCCCGAGAGUGGGGGAUAACGGAGCGAAAGCUUUGCUAAUACCGCAUACGAUCUACGGAUGAAAGCAGGGGACCGCAAGGCCUUGCGCUCAUGGAGCGGCCGAUGGCAGAUUAGGUAGUUGGUGGGAUAAAAGCUUACCAAGCCGACGAUCUGUAGCUGGUCUGAGAGGACGACCAGCCACACUGGGACUGAGACACGGCCCAGACUCCUACGGGAGGCAGCAGUGGGGAAUUUUGGACAAUGGGCGCAAGCCUGAUCCAGCC
rnacentral:rRNA from 1 species